AGCGAACGUUUGCGGCGGGCCUAACACAUGCAAGUCGAACGCACUAGCAAUAGUGAGUGGCGCACGGGUGCGUAACACGUGGGUAAUCAACCCUUCAGCUUGGGAUAACGACUUGAAAGGGUCGCUAAUACCGGAUACGGCGCGGGAGGCUUCGGCUUCUCACGAGAAAGCCUCGCAAGGGGCACUGAAGGACGAGCCUGCGGCCCAUCAGCUAGUUGGUGAGGUAAGAGCUCACCAAGGCGAAGACGGGUAGCUGGUCUGAGAGGAUGAUCAGCCACACUGGAACUGAGACACGGUCCAGACUCCUACGGGAGGCAGCAGUGGGGAAUAUUGCGCAAUGGGCGAAAGCCUGACGCAGCCACGCCGCGUGAGCGAUGAAGGCCUUCGGGUCGUAAAGCUCUGUGGGGAGAGACGAAGAAAGCCCGUGAAGAGCGGGCCUUGACGGUAUCUCCUUAGCAAGCACCGGCUAACUCCGUGCCAGCAGCCGCGGUAAUC
rnacentral:rRNA from 1 species